UCUCGCUGGUUCAGCCAGAGACCAUUCUCAGCUUCCAAAGGCUGCCUACACUCCUUGGCUCAUGUGAUUAUAUCGAACCUCCCUGAAUGAUCCAGGCAAAUCUCCCAACCUUAAAAUCCAUUGGAAAAAUGUACACCGGAUCUGAUCAAGGAGGUGAUGGAGAUUUGGCCACUUCUCCAUACCCCCUUGUUGGGGGCACACUUGGGGCACACGGUCUACCUAGAGCGAGUUGUGAGUGUGAGAAAACCUUCAAUGGCCCACAUUCUGUGCGCUCUCCUUGCAAGCGGAAUGUCCAGAUAAAGUGCUGAGACAAAGAUAUCGGUUCUGUGUGCAGAGAAUGUAUACCAAACCUCUGCUUGAUCCAGCUACGUAUAAAAUUG